UACGUAGGUGGCGAGCGUUGUCCGGAUUUAUUGGGCGUAAAGCGCGCGCAGGCGGUGCGGUAAGUCCGUCGUGAAAUCUCCUGGCUCAACUGGGAGGGCGCACCGAAGACUGGCGGACUGGAGGGCAUCAGAGGAAAGCGGAACUCCCGGUGUAGUGGUGAAAUGCGUAGAGAUCGGGAAGAACACCUGUGGCGAAGGCGGCUUUCUGGGGUGUACCUGACGCUGAGGCGUGAAAGCGUGGGGAGCGAACCGG
rnacentral:rRNA from 1 species